CCUACGGGAGGCAGCAGUGGGGAAUUUUGGACAAUGGGGGCAACCCUGAUCCAGCAAUGCCGCGUGAGUGAAGAAGGCCUUCGGGUUGUAAAGCUCUUUUGUCAGGGAAGAAAAGGGAAUGGUUAAUACCUGUUCCUGCUGACGGUACCUGAAGAAUAAGCACCGGCUAACUACGUGCCAGCAGCCGCGGUAAUACGUAGGGUGCAAGCGUUAAUCGGAAUUACUGGGCGUAAAGCGUGCGCAGGCGGUUUUGUAAGUCUGUCGUGAAAUCCCCGGGCUUAACCUGGGAAUGGCGAUGGAGACUGCAAGGCUGGAGUUUGGCAGAGGGGGGUAGAAUUCCACGUGUAGCAGUGAAAUGCGUAGAGAUGUGGAGGAACACCGAUGGCGAAGGCAGCCCCCUGGGUCAAGACUGACGCUCAUGCACGAAAGCGUGGGGAGCA
rnacentral:rRNA from 1 species